GCGCAUGCGUCAACAUGUGGAAUUCAACAUUUUCCAUGUCAUGGCGGCAGCGGCGAGGCGACAUCGCAAUUGGUGGAAUUAAACGGCUGCUGACUGCUAACGUAUGUCUGUCAGUAACGACAGAUAAAACCUUCACCUGCAAAUUAGAGUAAGUUACGUUAUUCAUCUCCAUCUAUGAUUAUUAAAAUAUAUUGUUGUUAGCUUCCGAUAUUAUUUGUACAUGGCUUAAAUGAGUGAAUCUGCAGCACACGAUUGUUGUUGUUUCGAAUCAGUGCAUUUUACUGAACGAGUCACCACAAGUUAUUAAAGUUGCUUGCAUUCAUUACGUGUCUGACAUGAUCCGAAACAGAUGCCAAUGCAGUGCUUACUCGAUUCUCAAAAUCAUAAACCGGUUGCAACUGUUCUCGAAUCGUCAGCUCUGAACUGAGUCUGUCAGACGCAUCCGAAGCUGAAGAGAAAUCGAUUCUUGACUGCAACACAGAUGAACUGAUGACAUGAUUAAGGGUUAAACUAAUUUAUUUAAUAACAAGUGAAACUGGAAUAUGCCUAAUCAGUGCAAGAAGUCCACUGAAAUGGUUCAUUGAAUUGAACCGUCUGGGGGAACCGGUUUACAGAAAUGAACUCCCCAUCACAAUUAAUACAUUUAACAGAUGGAAAGCGCUCAGUCUGAUGGUAAGUUUUAAUUGUUUAUUUAUUUUGUGCAUUUAUCCGGUGAGCUUUCAUGUUAGAAGGGAUCUAUUCAUAACCUGAUUUACUAUUGUAAUUAUUUACAGAUUAAUGAAGUUUUCCUAAUUUUCUUGUAAUUAGUCUUUGCUUAUCUACCUCAGAGUGCCUUGGAAAAGAUCAAGAAGAGCUCCAAGACCAUCAGGAGGACCAGCUUGAAGGCCGCACAUAUGAAAUCAUGAGGUUGUUGGCGCUUCACAGUCCCACAGCAGAGAAGGACCCAGCAGAUGAGUGAACGGCACCGAAGUGUUUAGAUUGUUUAGUGUGUUUUGACAUUAUGCAUGUUUAAACUUUGCUUUAUUUUUCAGUGAUUAUGUAAGAUAUAUGUGUGACACGACAGUUGUACUUUUCUUGAAAUGUAUAUUAGUAAUUUUAGAUGUUUUUAUAUUAUUAAUAGAAUUUAAUAAAUAUGAAAUUAAUAGAA